GUGUGGCCCGCAGGAAACAGAGGGCCCACGUGGACAAGACUCAUGGUGGCAAGCUCAGGCAGACAGGUGGCAGUAAGAAAUCUCCCCAGUGGCCAGGCACAGCGGCUCAUGCCUGCAAUCCCAAAGCUCUGGGAAGCCGAGGCUGCAGGAUCACUUGAACCCAGGUCAAGCCUGCAGGGGACGAUGAUCGUGCCGCUGGACUCCAGCCUGGGCAACAGAGCAAGACCCUGUCUCCAAAAAAGGAAAUGUACUCAGGGACAGUGAUACCUUACAGAUGCACCAAGAGUCAACCAAGAGAGGAAGGCACAAAUGCAGGGGUUCAAAAGGGCUAAAAUGGCGCAACUGCUGUGGAAAACUGGAG